GCCAGCAUGGUGUAGUGGUUUGAGUGUUGGACUGUAACUUUGGAGACCAGGGAUCGAUUCCCCGCUUGGCC